UACAGAGGUCUCAAGCGUUGUUCGGAAUCACUGGGCGUAAAGGGUGCGUAGGCCGCACGGUAAGUCAGAGGUGAAAUCCCGGAGCUCAACUCCGGAAUGGCCUCCGAUACUGCCGUGCUCGAGGACUGGAGAGGAGUCUGGAAUUCACAGUGGAGCAGUGAAAUGCGUGGAUAUUGUGAGGAACACUAGUGGCGAAGGCGGUUCUCUGGGCAUGUUCUGACGCUGAGGAGCGAAAGUGUGGGGAGCGAACAGG
rnacentral:rRNA from 1 species